ACGACCUUACUUGAACAGGAUCUGUUCUAUAGGAUCGUACCUCUGUAUCCUUGAGUUCUAAGGAGACAGGAACUAAAGUCUGGUCGAUGAAUCAUGACCGCGCGAUCAGAGCGUGAUUAAUGGCUACUGGUCUAUGAUGUAGAUCAUGUGGCUGUAGAUGAUCGUUCUCAGCUUGUCAUAGGACGGCUGAGAUGGUUGUGCGGUUUUCUGACAGACU
rnacentral:snoRNA from 1 species